GACGAACGCUGGCGGCGUGCCUAAUACAUGCAAGUCGAACGCUGAAGGGGGAGCUUGCUUCUCUGGAUGAGUUGCGAACGGGUGAGUAACGCAUAGGUAAACUGCCUGGUAGAGGGUGAUAACUAUUGGAAACGAUAGCUAAUACCGCAUAAUAGUAGAUGAUGCAUGACAUUUGAUUAAAAGGUACAAUUGUAUUACUACUAGAUGGACCUGCGUUGUAUUAGCUAGUUGGUGGGGUAACGGCUCACCAAGGCGACGAUACAUAGCCGACCUGAGAGGGUGAUCGGCCACACUGGGACUGGGACACGGCCCAGACUCCUACGGGAGGCAGCAGUAGGGAAUCUUCGGCAAUGGACGGAAGUCUGACCGAGCCACGCCGCGGGAGUGAAGAAGGUUUUCGGAUCGUAAAGCUCUGUUGUAAGAGGAGAACGAGUGUGAGAGGGGAAAGUUCACGCUGUGACGGUAUCUUACCAGAAAGGGACGGCUAACUACGUG
rnacentral:rRNA from 1 species